UACGAAGGGGGCUAGCGUUGCUCGGAAUCACUGGGCGUAAAGCGCACGUAGGCGGCUUUUUAAGUCAGAGGUGAAAUCCUGGAGCUCAACUCCAGAACUGCCUUUGAUACUGAGAGGCUUGAGUCCGGGAGAGGUGAGUGGAACUGCGAGUGUAGAGGUGAAAUUCGUAGAUAUUCGCAAGAACACCAGUGGCGAAGGCGGCUCACUGGCCCGGUACUGACGCUGAG
rnacentral:rRNA from 1 species